rnacentral:rRNA from 1 species
AAGCGUUAUUCGGAAUUAUUGGGCGUAAAGCGUCUGUAGGUGGUGGAAAAAGUGUAAUGUUAAAGAUCACGGCUCAACCGUGAGAAAGCAUUGCAAACUAAUUCACUUGAGUUCGGUAGGGGCAGAGAGAAUUCCCAGUGUAGCGGUGAAAUGCGUAGAUAUUGGGAGGAAGACCAGUGGCGAAGGCGUUCUGCUGGGCCGACACUGACACUGAGAGACGAAAGCUAAGGUAGCAAAUAGGAUUAGAUACCCUAGUAGUCUUAGCUGUAAAUGGUGCGCACUAUGUUUUGCAUUGCAGAGCAAAAGCUAACGCGUUAAGUGCGCCGCCUGGGGAGUACACUCGCAAGGGUGAAACUCAAAGGAAUUGACGGGGACCCGCACAAGCGGUGGAGCAUGUGGUUUAAUUCGAUGCUACGCGAAGAACCUUACCAAGGCUUGACAUGCUGCGAACGUUUAUGAAAGUAAAAAGUCCAUUAACUUUAAGUUAAUGGCGCAGACACAGGUGGUGCAUGGUUGUCGUCAGCUCGUGCCGUGAGGUGUUGGGUUAAGUCCCGCAACGAGCGCAACCCUUGUCUUUAGUUAUUUAUCUAAAGAGACUGCCGAUGAUAAAUCGGAGGAAGGUGAGGAUGACGUCAAAUCAGCAUGCCCCUUACGCCUUGGGCGACUCACGUGCUACAAUGGUUGAGACAAAGAGAUGCUACCCUGCGAAGGCAAGCUAACCUCAUAAACUCAGCCUCAGUUCGGAUUGCAGGCUGCACCG